rnacentral:rRNA from 1 species
UACGGGGGGAGCAAGCGUUGUUCGGAUUUACUGGGCGUAAAGGGCGCGUAGGCGGCCACCGCAAGUCGACUGUGAAAUCUCCGGGCUUAACCCGGAAAGGUCAGCCGAUACUGCGGGGCUAGAGUGCAGAAGGGGCAACUGGAAUUCUCGGUGUAGCGGUGAAAUGCGUAGAUAUCAGGAGGAACACCGGUGGCGAAGGCGGGUCUCUGGGCCGAUACUGACGCUGAGGAGCGAAAGCAUGGGUAGCGAACAGG